AAAUUCUCAACGAUGGAUAUCUUGGUUCCCAUAACGAUGAAGAACGCAGCGAAGUGCGAUAAGCAAUGCGAAUUGCAGAACCGUGAGUCAUCAGAUUUUUGAACGCAACUGGCGCUGGCUGGAUCUCCAGCCAGCAUGCUUGUUCCAGUG
rnacentral:rRNA from 1 species